rnacentral:rRNA from 1 species
UUCCAGACUCCUACGGGAGGCAGCAGUGGGGAAUAUUGCACAAUGGGGGAAACCCUGAUGCAGCAACGCCGCGUGAGUGAAGAAGUAUUUCGGUAUGUAAAGCUCUAUCAGCAGGGAAGAAAAUGACGGUACCUGAGUAAGAAGCCCCGGCUAACUACGUGCCAGCAGCCGCGGUAAUACGUAGGGGGCAAGCGUUAUCCGGAUUUACUGGGUGUAAAGGGAGCGUAGACGGCGAUACAAGUCUGAAGUGAAGGCCCGGGGCUCAACCCCGGGACUGCUUUGGAAACUGCGUUGCUGGAGUGCAGGAGGGGCAGGCGGAAUUCCUGGUGUAGCGGUGAAAUGCGUAGAUAUCAGGAGGAACACCAGUGGCGAAGGCGGCUUACUGGACUGUAACUGACGUUGAGGCUCGAAAGCGUGGGGAGCAAACAGGAUUAGAUACCCGGGUAA